rnacentral:rRNA from 1 species
GACGAACGCUGGCGGCGUGCCUAAUACAUGCAAGUCGAACGCAGUGGGGACGGGGGAGUCACACGUGGGUAACCUCCCAUCAGAGGGGAGAACACUUGGAAAAAGGUGCAAAACCGAUACUGAUGGAUGGACCCGCGGUGCAUUGGCCAGUUGGUGAGGUAACGGCUCACCAAGGCCACGAUGCAUAGACGCCCUGAGAGGGUGAGCGGCCCGACGGGGACUGAGACACGGCCCAGAUGCCUACGGGAGGCAGCAGUGGGAAUUCUUCGGCAAUGGGCGAAAGGCUGAGCGAGCCACGCGGGGUGAGGGAAGAAGGUUUUGGGAUCGUAAAACUCGGUUAUUAGAGAAGCGGUAUCGAACCAGUAAGCCACGGCUAACUACGGGCCAGCAGCCGCGGUAAUUC